GACGAACGCUGGCGGCGUGCCUAAUACAUGCAAGUUGAGCGCUGAAGGUUGGUACUUGUACCAACUGGAUGAGCAGCGAACGGGUGAGUAACGCGUGGGGAAUCUGCCUUUGAGCAGGGGACAACAUUUGGAAACGAAUGCUAAUACCGCAUAAAAACUUUAAACACAAGUUUUAAGUUUGAAAGAUGCAAUUGCAUCACUCAAAGAUGAUCUCGCGUUGUAUUAGCUAGUUGGUGAGGUAAAGGCUCACCAAGGCGAUGAUACAUAGCCGACCUGAGAGGGUGAUCGGCCACAUUGGGACUGAGACACGGCCCAAACUCCUACGGGAGGCAGCAGUAGGGAAUCUUCGGCAAUGGACGAAAGUCUGACCGAGCAACGCCGCGUGAGUGAAGAAGGUUUUCGGAUCGUAAAACUCUGUUGGUAGAGAAGAACGUUGGUGAGAGUGGAAAGCUCACCAAGUGACGGUAACUACCCAGAAAGGGACGGCUAACUACGUG
rnacentral:rRNA from 1 species